rnacentral:lncRNA from 1 species
CUGCUGGCCCCCCUACUUCUGAGGAAGCACAGUUCCCGCUCAGCCCAGUCAAAACUGUUCGCUGCUCUGGCACCCCUAUGGUGGAACAAGCUCCCUCAUGACGCCAGGACAGCGGAGUCAAUCACCACCUUCCGGAGACACCUGAAACCCUCCCCCCCCCUAAAAGAUUUAGAUGCACUAUUGUAAAGUGGUUGUUCCACUGGAUAUCAUAAGGUGAAUGCACCAAUUUGAAAGUCGCUCUGGAUAAGAGCGUCUGCUAAAUGACUUAAAUGUAAAUGUAAAUGUAACAGAGUAGAAGGGGAGUAGAAUGUUGUCUGUAGUGUUUAACAGAGUAGGAGGGGAGGGGAAUAGAGUGUUCUCUGCAGUGUUUUAAAGAGUAUAAAGGGAGUAGAGUAGAGUGUUGUCUGCAGUGUUUAACAGAGUAGGAGGGGAGUAGAGUAGAGUGGUGACUGUAGUUUUUGACAGAGUAGGAGUGGAGUAGAGUUUUGUCUGUAGUGUUUAACAGAGUAGGGGGGGGGUAGAGUGUUGUCUGUAGUGUUUAACAGAGUAGAAAGGGAGUAGAGUAGAGUGUUGUUUGUCGUGUUUAACAGAGUAGGAGAGGAGUAGAGUAGAGUGUUGUCUGUCGUGUUUAAAAGAGUAGGAGGGGAGUAGAGUGUUGUCUGUAGUGUUUAAUAGAGUAGGAGGGGAGUAGAGUAGAGUGUUGUCUCUAGUGUUUAACAGAGUAGAAGGGGAGUAGAUUGUUCUCUGUAGUGUUUAACAGAGUAGAAGGGGAGUAGAGUGUUCUCUGCAGUGUUUAACAGAGAAGGAGAGGAAUAGAGUAUAGUGAUGUCUGUCGUGUUUAACAGAGUAGGAGGGGAGUAGAGUAGAGUGGUGACUGUAGUUUUUAACAGAGUAGGAGUGGAGUAGAGUGUUGUCUGUAGUGUUUAACAGAGUAGGAGUGGAUUCGAGUAUUGUCUGUAUUGUUUAACAGAGUAGGAGGGGAGUAGAGUAGCGUGUUGUCUGUAGUGUUUAACAGAGUAGAAAGGGAGUAGAGUAGAGUGUUGUUUGUAGUGUUUAACAGAGUAGGAGAGGAGUAGAGUAGUGUGUUGUCUGUCAUGUUUAAAAGAGUAGGAGGGGGUAGAGCGUUGUCUGUAGUGUUUAACAGAGUAGGAGGGGAGGGGAAUAGAGUGUUCUCUGCAGUGUUUAACAGAGUGGAGAGGAAUAGAGUAUAGAGUUGUCUGUAGUGUUUAACAGAGUAGGAGGGGAGUAGAGUAGAGUGGUGACUGUAGUUUUUGACAGAGUAGGAGUGGAGUAGAGUUUUGUCUGUAGUGUUUAACAGAGUAGGAGGGGAAUAGAGUGUUGUCUGUAGUGUUUAACAGAGUAGGAGGGGAGAAGAGUGUUGUCUGUAGUUUUUAACAGAGUAGGAGGGGAGUAGAGUGUUGUCUGUAGUGUUUAACAGAGUAGGAGUGGAGUAGAGUAUUGUCUGUAGUGUUUAACAGAGUAGGAGGGGAGUAGAGUAGAGUGUUGUCUGUCGUGUUUAACAGAGUAGGAGUGGAGUAGAGUAUUGUCUGUAGUGUUUAAUAGAGUAGAAGGGGAGUAGAGUAAAGUGUUGUCUCUAGUGUUUAACAGAGUAGCAGGAGGUAGAGUGUUGUCUGUAGUGUUUAACAUAGUAGGAAAAGGAGAAAAGUGUGGUCUGUAGUGUUUAACAGAGUAGGAGGGGAGUGGAAUGUUGUCUGUAGUGUUUAACAGAGUAGGAGGGGAGUAGAGCUUUGUCUGUAGUGUUUAACAAAGUAGGAGGGGAGUAGAGUGUUCUCUGGUGUGUUUAACAGAGUGGGAGGGGAGUAGAGCUUUGUCUGUAGUGUUUAACAGAGUAGGAGGGGAGUAGAGUGUUCUCUGGUGUGUUUAACAGAGUAGGAGAAGAGUAGAGUGUUGUCUGUAGUGUUUAACAAAGUAGAAUGUGAGUACAGUGGAGAAUUGUCUGUAGUGUUUAACAACGUAGGAGGGGAGUAGAGUGCUGUCUGUAGUGUUUAACAGAGUAGUAGGGGUGUAGACUGUUGUCUUUAGUGUUUUACAGAGUAGGAGGGGAAUAGAGUAGGGUGUUGUCUGCUGUGUUUAACAGAGUAGGAGGGGAGUAGAGUAGUGUUGUCUUUAGUUUUUAACAGAGUAGCAUUUGUGUUGAUUAGAGUGUUGUCUGUAGUGUUUAACAGAGUAGGACGAGAGUGGAGUAGAGUGUUGUCUGUAGUUUUUAACAGAGUAGAAGGGGAGUAGAGUGUUGUCUUUAGUGUUAAACAGAGUCGCAGGGGAGUUGAGUGUUGUCUGUACUGUUUAACAGAGUAGGAGGGGAGUAGAGUGCUGUCUGUAGUGUUUAACAGAGUUGCAGGGGAGUAGAGUUUUGUCUGUAGUUUUUAACAGGGUAGAAGGGGAGUUGAGUAGAGUGUUGUCUGUAGUGUUUAGCAGAGUUGGAGGUGAGUAGAGUAGAGUGUUGUCUGUAAUUUUAACAGAGUAGGAGGGAGUAGAGUAAAGUGUUGUAUGUAGUGUUUAACAGAGUUGCAGGGGAGUAGAGUGAAGUCUGUAGUGUUUAACAGAGUAGGAGGGGAACAGAGUAAAGUGUUGUCUGCAGUGUUUAACAGAAUAGGAGGGGAGUAGAGUAGUGUUGUCUGUCGUGUUUAACAGAGUAGCAUUUGAGUAGAUUAGUGUUGUCUGUAGUGUUUAACAGAGUAGGAGGGGAGUAGAGUCAAGUGUUGUCUGUUGUUUUUAACAGAGUUGAAGGGGUGUAGAGUAAAGUGUUGUCUGUAGUGUUUAACAGAGUAGGAAGGGAGUAUAGUGUUGUCUCUAGUGUUUAACAGAGUAGGAGGAGGUAGAGUGUUGUCUGUAGUGUGUAACAGAGUAGGAGGGGAGUGGAAUGUUGUCUCUAGUGGUUAACAGAGUAGGAGGAGAGUAGAGUAGAGUUUUUUCUGCAGUGUUUAACUACUUCAAUUUAAUCUCCAAUUAGAGACAACGAGGACCUGCUCCCUCUAAUUGGAGAUCAGCCAAAAAAACAUCGACAGAGAAAAAGAAAAACUAGAACUUAAAACAUAGAAAUACAAAACAUAGAAGAACACAAAACACCCCCUGUCACGCCCUGACCUACUCUACCAUAGAAAAUCACAUCUUACUACGGUCAGGACGUCACAGCUGUAGAGUUUAACAGAGCAGGAGGAGGUAGAAUGUUGUCUGUAGUGUUUAACAGAGUAGGAGGGGAGUAGAGUGUUGUCUGUAGUGUUUAACAGAGUAGAAGGAGAGUAGAGUGUUUUCUGUAGUGUUUAACAGAGUAGGAGGGGAGUAGAGUAAAGUGUUGUCUGCAGUGUUUAACAGAGUAGGAGGUUAGUAGAGUAGAGUGUUGUCUGUAGUUUUUAACAGAGUAGCAUUUGAGUAGAUUAGAGUGGUGUCUGUAGUGUUUAACAGAGUAGGAGGGGAGUAGAGUCGAGUGUUGUCUGUUGUUUUUAACAGAGUUGAAGGGGUGUAGAGUAAAGUGUUGUCUGUAGUGUUUAACAGAGUAGUAGGAGGUAGAGUGUUGUCUGUAGUGUUUAACAUAGUAGGAAAAGGAGAAAAGUGUGGUCUGUAGUGUUUAACAGAGUAGGAGGGGAGUAGAGUGUUGUCUGUAGUGUUUAACAUAGUAGGAAAAGGAGAAAAGUGUGGUCUGUAGUGUUUAACAGAGUAGGAGGGGAGUGGAAUGUUGUCUGUAGUGGUUAACAGAGUAGGAGGAGAGUAGAGUAGAGUGUUUUCUGCAGUGUUUAACCGAAUAGGAGGGGAUUAGAGUACUGUUGUCCUUAGUGUUUUCUAUAGUUGUAGGGGUGUAGAGUGUUGUCUGUAGUGUUUAACAGAGUGGAAGUGGAGUAGAGUGGAGAAUUGUCUGUAGUGUUUAACAGAGUUGGAGGUGAGUAGAGUGUUCUCUGGUGUGUUUAACAGAGUGGGAGUAGAGUAGAGUGUUGUCUGUAGUGUUUAACAGAGUUGGAGUUGAGUAGAGUAGAGUGUUGUCUGUAAUUUUAACAGAGUAGGAGGGAGUAAAGUGUUGUAUGUAGUGUUUAACAGAGUAGGAGGGGAAUAGAGUGUUGUCUGUAGUGUUUAACAGAGUAGCAUUUGAGUAGAUUAGAGUGGUGUAUGUAGUGUUUAACAGAGUUGAAGGGGAGUCGAGUAAAGUGCUGUCUGUAGUGUUUAACAGAGUAGGAGGGAGUAAAGUGUUGUCUGUAGUGUUUAACAGAGUAGGAGGGGAGUAGAGUGUUGUCUGUAGUGUUUAACAGAGUAGGAGGGGAGUAGAGUGUUGUCUGUAGUGUUUAACAGAGUAGGAGGGGAGUAGAGUGUUGUCUGUAGUGUUUAACAGAGUCGCAGGGGAGUAGAGUGUUGUCUGUAGUGUUUAACAGAGUAUGAGGGGAGUAGAGUGGAAUGUUGUCUGUAGUGUUUAACAGAGUAGGAGGGGAGUAUAAUUUUGUCUGUAGUGUUUAACAGAGUAGGAGGGGAGUAGAGUAAAGUGUUGUCUGUAGUGUUUAGCAGAGUAGGAGUGGAGUAGAGUAGAGUGUUGUCUGUUGUGUUUAACAGAUUAGGAGGGGCGUAAAGUA